rnacentral:misc_RNA from 1 species
GGGCUCCCAGGUGUUGGCCGUUUCUGGCCAGCCUCGCCACUUUAUGAGAUACUGAAGCUGACCCUUGCGGACCCGUUUGCGUCGAAUAGCUUCGAUUUCGAAGAAACCCUCAUCAAGCUUAGGCCGUUCUUCUUCAUCUUUCUCUUCCUCGUCCUCAUUCUCAUCCACGUCCUCAUCCUCAUCCUCAUCCUCUCCUUCACAUUCCUUCCGAUUCUCCUCAUUAUCAUCAACCCCAUCUCGUUCUUUCUCAUCAGCAGCAUUCCCUCCUUGAACAAAAACCUCUACCAUGUUGUGGCCAUCCUCGAAGGCAUUGUUCAAGGCCAUAUUGGGGCUUGCAGCUGCCUUCCUCUUCCCCUUCAUUUGGUA